ACCUAAGACAGGAUUCCAUUUAACGGAUGGCUAGCGUAAGCUAAGGGAAAGUGCCACAGAAACAAACCGCUCGUUAAGAGUAAGGGUGAAAAGGUGGGGUAAGAGCCCACCGCACCCCAAGCAAUUGGGCGUGGCUAGGUAAACCCAAUCCGUAGCAAGAAGCGCAUGGUGAGUCUUAGAUGCAGCGCUUCGCAAGAGGUGGGUUGUAAAACCUAUCCUAGAUAAAUAACCACCCACG
rnacentral:misc_RNA from 1 species